UAACACGUGGAUAACCUACCUAUAAGACUGGGAUAACUUCGGGAAACCGGAGCUAAUACCGGAUAAUAUUUUGAACCGCAUGGUUCAAAAGUGAAAGACGGUCUUGCUGUCACUUAUAGAUGGAUCCGCGCUGCAUUAGCUAGUUGGUAAUGUAACGGCUUACCAAGGCAACGAUGCAUAGCCGACCUGAGAGGGUGAUCGGCCACACUGGAACUGAGACACGGUCCAG
rnacentral:rRNA from 1 species